rfam:Trachymyrmex cornetzi contig40234, whole genome shotgun sequence.
CAAUCCGCCCUUUUUAGGGCGACCAAUACUUUCUUACAGGAAUAU